GGGUCCCUGUUGCUUAGUCUUUAGUUUUAUUAUGUUGUGUCUUGUGUGAUCUUCACCAGAAGUUUUUGGUGGGGUCCCUGUUGCUUAGUCUUUAGUUUUAUUAUGUUGUGUCUUGUGUGAUCUUCACCAGAAGUUUUUGGUGGGGUCCCUGUUGCUUAGUCUUUAGUUUUAUUAUGUUGUGUCUUGUGUGAUCUUCACCAGAAGUUUUUGGUGGGGUCCCUGUUGCUUAGUCUUUAGUUUUAUUAUGUUGUGUCUUGUGUGAUCUUCACCAGAAGUUUUUGGUGGGGUCCCUGUUGCUUAGUCUUUAGUUUUAUUAUGUUGUGUCUUGUGUGCUAUUAUAAUUUGUGUGAUUGUCUUUUUCUUUUUUAGCCAUGGUGUUGUCAGUUUAUUUUCACUCUAUGAUCCCUCUUCUUUUAAUUGACUAGGAUUGUAUGUUUUCU
rnacentral:lncRNA from 1 species